AUGAGCACGUGGAACUCCGUCGUGACGGCGCACAAGCCCACCAGCGUCAGCCGCUCCUUCGUCGGCGACUUCACCAGCUCAACCUCACCGUCGUAUUGCCAAACCUUCCAGGAAAUGCGCCCGCUCUCACGCCGCAGGCCCUUCAUUCAGGGUGGUGAUGAAGCAAGAGAAGACCUGAUGGUAGGCAACACCACUUUGUUGACGAGUGAUUAUACCAAUCCAGCCAUCUUUUCAUUGAGUUUACUGUCAGAAAAUGCAUACAUCUCUGCAGUUAUUUUACAGAUAAAGCAAUUCAUCAUGAUCUGUACAGUUCAUGUCUACACUCUGAGUAGACAUGAUCUGCAGAGGCAUUUGGUUGAGUUGGUGACAGUCUGGCAGGAUCGUGAAGCGUCCGUGCCUGCGGUACAGGUCUCACAUGGGCCGCAAUUUAUCGAGGUCCGUACCUCUAUGAUGCUCUCGGAUUAA
rnacentral:rRNA from 1 species